GUCCGGUUAGCUCAGUUGUUAAAAGUGUGAUGCUAAUAAUGCCAAGAUUAUGGGUUUGAUCCCCGUAUAGGUUCAUA